GUCUCUUAUUUUUUCUUUAUGUUCUCUUUUUUAUCUCCUCUUUCGCUUGAGGAUCCUUUUGGAUCUCAAUCAAUAUAUAUCUUUUCUCGACUGAAAUUGGUGUUUUGAUACCUUUGCUUUUGACAUCCAGGUAUGGUUCACUAUUAGAUCUGCGCUCUCUGCUAUUAUUCUUGCCUUCUUGUCUUCUUCUUUGUCUGUUUCAUCAAAUUUAUCAUGUUUUCUAUAAUGAAAAUUGAAGUCGUGAGUAUAAUAUUUUUACAUUGAUUAUUUAAAUUAGUAUUUGCAUUUGUUGAUUUUAGUUAUUUUUCCAUUACCUAUAUCUUAUUUAUUAAGAAAAUUGAAGGAAAGGUGUCUUUUCAGUCUUGAAUGAAUGAACCGUUGUUUUUAUUAAAAUUUUUGAAAAAGUUAUCUGAUGGAAGAACUUAAAAAGCCUUGUUGGUUAUUUCUUUUUUGUUUCUUUAUUGUUGAUGUUGGUGUUGGUAUUGGUGGUUUUGGUGGUAUUAGUAUUGUAAUUGUUGUAACUAAUGAAUCAGUAUCGGUCUUCCAACAGAUUACCUAUAUGUUGUAACUGAUUGUUGGAAUACCUUUCUAUUGCAACAAAUGAAGCACCUGUUGAAAGAAAUCAAACCAGUAGCAAGGGUUAUUUGAUUUCAUCAACAAAUGACCUACCUGUUGCAAUUGAUGGGUCAGUUGUUGUAAUAGAUAGGUCACUUGUUGCAAUAGAUGGGUUUUUUGCGUUAUCCUUUUAUUGAAUUUUUUGUUAUACUCUUUUUUAAAACUAUGUAUGCAUCAAUUGUAAUGUUAUUUUUGUUUUUAUCUUGUUUGUAGAUAAAAGAUUUCUCCCAAAAGAAAAGAAAGUGAAAAUGGAUAAACUUUUUCCCGACCAACAUAAAAGGCUAGAG
rnacentral:lncRNA from 1 species